UUCCGUGUAUUAGUGAUAUCUUAUGAUGUUUCUUUUUCUGUGUGACUUAUUUCACUUAGAAUCAUCGUACCUGAAUCCACUCAUUAUGCUGCUACGGGCCUGAUGACAUAGAUUUCAUUGCUGAGUGAUACUGCAUUGUACGUAAAAUCAUCGUACCUGAAUCCACUCAUUAUGCUGCUACGGGCCUGAUGACAUAGAUUUCAUUGCUGAGUGAUACUGCAUUGUACGUAAAAUCAUCGUACCUGAAUCCACUCAUUAUGCUGCUACGGGCCUGAUGACAUAGAUUUCAUUGCUGAGUGAUACUGCAUUGUACGUAAAAUCAUCGUACCUGAAUCCACUCAUUAUGCUGCUACGGGCCUGAUGACAUAGAUUUCAUU